rnacentral:ncRNA from 2 species
AUCAAUCUUCGGGGCAGGGUGUAAUUCCCUACCGGCGGUGAUGAGUCUAAGUGCUCUAAGCCCGCGAGCUGUUUUUACAGCAGGAUUCGGUGUGAUUCCGAAGCCGACAGUAUAGUCUGGAUGGGAGAAGAUGGAG